CCUACGGGUGGCAGCAGUGGGGAAUAUUGCACAAUGGGGGAAACCCUGAUGCAGCGACGCCGCGUGAGUGAAGAAGUAAUUCGUUACGUAAAGCUCUAUCAGCAGGGAAGAAAAUGACGGUACCUGAGCAAGAAGUCCCGGCUAACUACGUGCCAGCAGCCGCGGGAAUACGUAAGGGGCAAGCGUUUUCCGGAUUUACUGGGUGUAAAGGGAGCGUAGACGGUGUGUCAAGUCUGGAGUGAAAGGCCGCAGCUUAACUGGGGAACUGCAGUGGAAACUGGAGAACUAGAGUGCGGGAGGGGUAGGCGGAAUUCAUGGUGGAGCGGUGAAAUGCGGAGAUAUUAGGAGGAACGCCGGUGGCGAAGGCGACUUACUGGACCGUAACUGACGUUGAGGCUCGAAAGCGUGGGGAGCAAACAGGAUUAGAUACCCCAGUAGUC
rnacentral:rRNA from 1 species